rnacentral:rRNA from 1 species
AUUGAACGCUGGCGGCAUGCUUUACACAUGCAAGUCGAACGGUAACAGGUUAAGCUGACGAGUGGCGAACGGGUGAGUAAUGCAUCGGAACGUGCCCGAUCGUGGGGGAUAACGCAGCGAAAGCUGCGCUAAUACCGCAUACGAUCUGAGGAUGAAAGCGGGGGACCGUAAGGCCUCGCGCGAUCGGAGCGGCCGAUGUCAGGUUAGGUAGUUGGUGGGGUAAAGGCUCACCAAGCCAACGAUCUGUAGCUGGUCUGAGAGGAUGACCAGCCACACUGGGACUGAGACACGGCCCAGACUCCUACGGGAGGCAGCAGUGAGGAAUUUUGGACAAUGGGCGAAAGCCUGAUCCAGCAAUGCCGCGUGCAGGAAGAAGGCCUUCGGGUUGUAAACUGCUUUUGUACGGAGCGAAAAGGCUCUCUCUAAUACAGGGGGCUCAUGACGGUACCGUAAGAAUAAGCACCGGCUAACUACGUGCCAGCAGCCGCAGUAA